AUUGAACGCUGGCGGCAGGCCUAACACAUGCAAGUCGAACGAGUCGCGGACGGGUGAGUAAUGUCUGUGAAACUGCCUUUUGGAGGGGGAUAACUACUGGAAACGGUAGCUAAUACCGCAUACCAUCAGAUGUGCCCAUAUUGUAUUAGCUAGUUGGGGGGGUAACGGCUCACCAAGGCGACGAUCCCUAGCUGGUCUGAGAGGAUGACGAGCCACACGGGAGCUGAGACACGGUCCAGAAUCCUAAGGGAGGCAGGAGUGGGGAAUAUUGCACAAUGGGCGCAAGCGAGAUGCAGGCAUGGCGGGUGUAUGAAGAGGGCCAUCGGGGUGUGAAGUACGAUAAGCGGGGGGGCGGUACCCGAAGAAGAAGCACCGGCUAACUCCGUGCCAGCAGCCGCGGUAAUAC
rnacentral:rRNA from 1 species